rnacentral:rRNA from 1 species
UGGGGAAUAUUGGACAAUGGGCGAAAGCCUGAUCCAGCCAUGCCGCGUGUGUGAAGAAGGUCUUCGGAUUGUAAAGCACUUUAAGUUGGGAGGAAGGGCAUUAACCUAAUACGUUAGUGUUUUGACGUUACCGACAGAAUAAGCACCGGCUAACUCUGUGCCAGCAGCCGCGGUAAUACAGAGGGUGCAAGCGUUAAUCGGAAUUACUGGGCGUAAAGCGCGCGUAGGUGGUCUGUUAAGUUGGAUGUGAAAUCCCCGGGCUCAACCCGGGAACUGCAUUCAAAACUGACUGACUAGAGUAUGGUAGAGGGUGGUGGAAUUUCCUGUGUAGCGGUGAAAUGCGUAGAUAUAGGAAGGAACACCAGUGGCGAAGGCGACCACCUGGACUAAUACUGACACUGAGGUGCGAAAGCGUGGGGAGCAAACA